rnacentral:lncRNA from 1 species
GGCUCCAGCAUCUCAGCUGUGACGGCUGGGGUCUGCUCCUCGUAGAUACCGAUGCCUGAAACCACUGGGAAGGAGUGGUUCCCUCCCUCAUGAUGUCGAGGAGCACACUGCCUGUCCUGUGUGUAUCAGAAGGCUGGGCUCUUUGGCUCCGUCGCAGCGAUGCUCCUGGAGUCCAGACUCUCAAGGCUGAGAAUCAAGAGGAUACAUGGGCCCCAGCCAAGGCUCCUGACCAGUCAGAGAAGAGAUGGCUGUCUCCAGCCCUCUGGCUAUGGCCUGAAGGGUCAGGGAGCCCAGAUAUGCUCCUGAAGAAUUUCACCACGAGCGUCAACAGUCCAUGUGUUUCAGGAGAGCCUGCUCACGCCCUGCCCAGCAUCUGCUACAGAUUAGGGAUCACUUCCAUGGUUGGCAAAGGCCGUGUGGACAGGUCAGCCUGCGGGAUCCUUAGCCUUGUCAUAGAUAGGCUCCCCAACAGCAGCAGACUCCGAGACGAAGAUUUGGAUCAUGAUGGCUUCCCACAACAAAUACCAACACUCCUCCUAAUUCUGGAAAGCUGGUGGGCCCAGCUGCAGCCCCUUGGCAGCAGAUACCUCCAUGUGCACCUUGCCACCUGGCUGCCCACUUGUGUCAGUGCUGCCGCUGGCUUCCAUUUGGGUUCACGCUGUUCCUUCCAGGUGGCUUUUUCUAUGUGUGUCUCAUCGUGGUGGCCACUGUGGACCCAGCUCUCUCAACCUGUUCCUCAGGGAGCCAGCCUGGGUUGCCAUGUGCUGCAAGAGAAGGCAAAGCUGGGACCGCCUAAGAUCUCACCGCAAAGCUGCAGAUACGCUGACCAGAUGGCAACGCUGAGCUGUGCACAAGACCGAAAUCACCGUGUUCCAAUCCCAGCCUUGAGACAAAGCCAGACUUGCUCAGAUGUUUCCACUCAGGGUUGGGCAAAGAUGCCCCAAAGGCAGACAAUGGCAAAGAAAGGGAACAGCCUCCAGUGGCUGGCAGGGAGAGCUUUAGGCAUCUGCUGUGGGCCUUGA